AGUUACUACAUGGCUAAAUCUAGAAAAUUAUGCAAGAAUAUAUGCAAUCCAUAUAGUCUAUAUUAUAGAAAUAAAAGUUCAACUAAUCCUUUACUAGUAGUAAAGGGUUAGUUGAACAAUUAUUUCUAUAAUAUAGACUAAAUGGAUUACUUAUAGUCUUGUUUAACUUUAUAUUUUAGACAUAUGAUAUGUAGUAACAUACCAUAUUUGUUUAAAUCAGUUGUAAAAUUAAAAAUGUUAACAUCUUUGAUAGGUAUAUUUAUUUAGGUUAGUUACAGCUAAGUUUACAUGGCUAGUUAAUAUGCUUUUAUAAAUUGCAAUUUUUAUUAAUUUCCAAAUUAAACAUGUGGCAUCCAAUAUCAUAAACUAUGAUUAUACUGGUGUGUUUAUAUUAUUUUAGAAUUUUUUGUUUUAGACACAUGGCAUUUGUUAUCCCACUAAUUUGCUGCUUUAGAGGCAUGGCAUUUAGUGUCACAUUGUAGGUUUAAAUUGGUUGUAGAAUUUAUAUUGUAACUUGCAUAUUUAUUUAGUUGAGUUUAAUCUAAGUUUAUAUCUGAUGUGUUUGUAUUAUUUUAGAAUUUACUGUUUUAGACACGUGGCAUGUGGUAUCCCACUACACUUGGUAUAAGCUGUCAUACUACACGUGGCAUGUGGUAUCCCACUAAUUAGCUAUUUUAAACAUGUGACAAGUGUUAUGACACUGUAUUGAUGUAUGUGAAAUGCAUAGAGUCUUUCAGUUAUCAGAUAAUGUCAAGGAGUUGACAGCAUGGUGUUCGAUUCAAAGUGCGAACCUGUGUACGAGUAACAACAGUAUUCAAAACCAAAACCUAUUUAAACCAACCAAACCAAAACUAACGACCAAAAACUUCUUGGCAUUGGUUUAUUUUAAACAUCUAUUAUAUAUAUGUGUGUUUUUUAUAUAAAUGUACUAGCUUGA